rnacentral:rRNA from 1 species
GACGAACGCUGGCGGCGUGCCUAAUACAUGCAAGUCGAACGCAUUUUCUUUCACCGUAGCUUGCUACACCGAAAGAAAAUGAGUGGCGAACGGGUGAGUAACACGUGGGUAACCUGCCCAUCAGCGGGGGAUAACACUUGGAAACAGGUGCUAAUACCGCAUAAUUCCAUUUACUGCAUGGUAGAUGGAUGAAAGGCGCUUUUGCGUCACUGAUGGAUGGACCCGCGGUGCAUUAGCUAGUUGGUGGGGUAACGGCCUACCAAGGCUGCGAUGCAUAGCCGACCUGAGAGGGUGAUCGGCCACACUGGGACUGAGACACGGCCCAGACUACUACGGGAGGCAGCAGUAGGGAAACUUCGGCAAUGGACGCAAGUCUGACCGAGAAACGCCGCGUGAGGGAAGAAGGUUUUCGGAUCGUAAAACUCUGUUGUUAGAAAAGAACAAGGAUGAGAGUGGAAAGUUCAUCCCUUGACGGUAUCUAACCAGAAAGCCACGGCUAACUACGUG